rnacentral:rRNA from 1 species
CAGUAGCCGCGGGAACACGGAGGAUCCAAGCGUUAUCCGGAAUCAUUGGGUUUAAAGGGUCCGUAGGCGGUCUUGUAAGUCAGUGGUGAAAGCCCAUCGCUCAACGGUGGAACGGCCAUUGAUACUGCAGGACUUGAAUUAUUGGGAAGUAACUAGAAUAUGUAGUGUAGCGGUGAAAUGCUUAGAGAUUACAUGGAAUACCAAUUGCGAAGGCAGGUUACUACCAAUUGAUUGACGCUGAUGGACGAAAGCGUGGGUAGCGAACAGGAUUAGAGACCCCUGUAGUCCCUGUCUCUUAUAC